rnacentral:rRNA from 1 species
CCUACGGGUGGCAGCAGUGAGGAAUAUUCGUCAAUGGGCGCGAGCCUGAACCAGCAAAGUAGCGUGAAGGAGGACUGCCCUACGGGUUGUAAACUUCUUUUAUGAAGGAAUAAAGUGAGGCACGUGUGCCUUUUUGUAUGUACUUUAUGAAUAAGGGUCGGCUAAAUCCGGGCCAGCAGCCGGGGUAAUUCGGAGGGUCCGAGCGUUAUCCGGAUUUAUUGGGUUUAAAGGGAGCGUAGAUGGGUUGGUAAGUCAGUUGUGAAAGUUUGCGGCUCAACCGUAAAAAUGCAAUUGAUACUGGCAGCCUUGAGUACAGUUGAGGUCGGCGGAAUUCGUGGUGUAGCGGUGAAAUGCUUAGAUAUCACGAAGAACUCCGAUUGCGAAGGCAGCCUACUAAACUGCCACUGACAUUGAUGCUCGAAAGUGUGGGUAUCAAACAGGAUUAGAUACCCGAGUAGUC